GACGAACGCUGGCGGCGUGCUUAACACAUGCAAGUCGAGCGGUAAGGCCCUUUCGGGGUACACGAGCGGCGAACGGGUGAGUAACACGUGAGCAAUCUGCCCUUCACUUCGGGAUAACCUCCGGAAACGGUGGCUAAUACCGGAUAGGAGCUCCUGCUGCAUGGUGGGGGUUGGAAAGUUUCGGCGGUUGGGGAUGGACUCGCGGCUUAUCAGCUUGUUGGUGGGGUAGUGGCUUACCAAGGCUUUGACGGGUAGCCGGCCUGAGAGGGUGACCGGCCACAUUGGGACUGAGAUACGGCCCAG
rnacentral:rRNA from 1 species